GGGGAUGACGUCAAGUCCUCAUGGCCUUUAUGACCAGGGCUACACACGUACUACAAUGGCCGGUACAAAGGGCAGCGACACAGCGAUGUGAAGCGAAUCCCGAAAAGCCGGUCUCAGUCCGGAUUGGAGUCUGCAACUCGACUCCAUGAAGUUGGAAUCGCUAGUAAUCGCGGAUCAGCACGCCGCGGUGAAUACGUUCCCGGGCCUU
rnacentral:rRNA from 1 species